ensembl:lncRNA
UUUUUUUUUUUAAUUGCAAGCUCCUCUGAAUACCGCAGAGUUUCCUUGAUUUUGCUUUCAUGUCUGUGAUCGCAUAAUCCUGGAGGGACCGGUAAGUAGUCUGUGACCUGGUCAUUCACAACAGAAGUAAGCUGUAAGCAAAUACUCAUACACACUUCAUCAGCUUAUACUGGCUCUUCAAUAAAUACAAGAAGUGCUUCAACUGAUAAUGCAAAGCAAUGAAAAUGUGUACCAUUCGUCAGCGUCUUUACGCCACGCCGGUCGUUCGUCGGCGUCUUUACAGUAAAGGUUGUCGUUCGUCGGCGUCUUUACAGUAAAGGUUGUCGUUCGUCGGCGUCUUUACAGUAAGGCUGUCGUUCGUCGGCGUCUUUACAGUAAAGGUUGUCGUUCGUCGGCGUCUUUACAGUAAAGGUUGUCGUUCGUCGGCGUCUUUACAGUAAGGCUGUCGUUCGUCGGCGUCUUUACAGUAAGGCUGUCGUUCAUCGCGUCUUUACAGUAAGGCUGUCGUUCGUCGGCGUCUUUACAGUAAGGCUGUCGUUCGUCGGCGUCUUUACAGUAAGGCUGUCGUUCGUCGGCGUCUUUACAGUAAGGCUGUCGUUCGUCGGCGUCUUUACAGUAAGGCUGUCGUUCGUCGGCGUCUUUACAGUAAGGCUGUCGUUCGUCGGCGUCUUUACAGUAAAGGUUGUCGUUCGUCGGCGUCUUUACAGUAAGGCUGUCGUUCGUCGGCGUCUUUACAGUAAAGGUUGUCGUUCGUCGGCGUCUUUACAGUAAGGCUGCCGUUCGUCGGCGUCUUUACAGUAAGGCUGUCGUUCGUCGGCGUCUUUACAGUAAAGGUUGUCGUUCGUCGGCGUCUUUACAGUAAAGGUUGUCGUUCGUCGGCGUCUUUACAGUAAAGGUUGUCGUUCGUCGGCGUCUUUACAGUAAAGGUUGUCGUUCGUCGGCGUCUUUACAGUAAGGCUGUCGUUCGUCGGCGUCUUUACAGUAAAG